GUGGGGAAUAUUGGACAAUGGGCGAAAGCCUGAUCCAGCAAUGCCGCGUGAGUGAAGAAGGCCUUCGGGUUGUAAAGUUCUUUUGGAGGGGACGAUGAUGACGGUACCCUCAGAAUAAGCUCCGGCUAACUUCGUGCCAGCAGCCGCGGUAAUACGAAGGGAGCUAGCGUUGUUCGGAAUUACUGGGCGUAAAGGGCGCGUAGGCGGUUUGGUUAGUCAGAUGUGGAAGCCCAGGGCUUAACCCUGGAACUGCGUUUGAUACUGCCAAGCUUGAAUUCGGGAGAGGUAAGUGGAAUUCCCAGUGUAGAGGUGAAAUUCGUAGAUAUUGGGAAGAACACCGGUGGCGAAGACGGCUCACUGGACCGACAUUGACGCUGAGGCGCGAAAGCGUGGGGAGCAAACAGGAUUAGAUACCCCAGUAGUCC
rnacentral:rRNA from 1 species